CCCUUAGAUGUUCUGGGCCGCACGCGCGCUACACUGAUGCAUUCAACGAGCCUAUCCUUGACCGACAGGUCCGGGUAAUCUUUGAAUCUGCAUCGUGACGGGGAUAGAUUAUUGCAAUUAUUAAUCUUCAACGAGGAAUGCCUAGUAGGCGCAAGUCAUCAGCUAGCGUCGAUUACGUCCCUGCCCUUUGUACACACCGCCCGUCGCUCCUACCGAUUGGGUGUGCUGGUGAAAUGUUCGGAUCGGCCGUUUGUCGCGGUUUCCGCGGCUCGUGGCUGAGAAGUUCAUUAAACCCUCCCACCUAGAGGAAGGAGAAGUCGUAACA
rnacentral:rRNA from 1 species